rnacentral:rRNA from 1 species
GACGAACGCUGGCGGCGUGCUUAACACAUGCAAGUCGAACGGAAAGGCCUCUUUCGGGGGGUACUCGAGUGGCGAACGGGUGAGUAACACGUGAGUAACCUGCCCUUGACUUUGGGAUAACUUCAGGAAACUGGGGCUAAUACCGGAUAGGAGCUCCUGCUGCAUGGUGGGGGUUGGAAAGUUUCGGCGGUUGGGGAUGGACUCGCGGCUUAUCAGCUUGUUGGUGGGGUAGUGGCUUACCAAGGCUUUGACGGGUAGCCGGCCUGAGAGGGUGACCGGCCACAUUGGGACUGAGAUACGGCCCAGACUCCUACGGGAGGCAGCAGUGGGGAAUAUUGCACAAUGGGUGGAAGCCUGAUGCAGCAACGCCGUGUGCGGGAUGACGGCCUUCGGGUUGUAAACCGCUUUCGCUCAUGACGGAGCUUUGUGUGACGGUAGUGGGUAAAGAAGCACCGGCUAACUACGUG